ACCCAAUAGAUACCCCGGUAGUCCACGCCCUAAACGAUGUCGACUGGUUGUUGGGGAAGGCAACUUCCUUAGUAAACGAAAGCUAAACGCGUGAAAGUCGACCGCCUGGGGAGUACGGCCGCAAGGUUAAAACUCAAAGGAAUUGACGGGGACCCGCACAAGCGGUGGAUGAUGUGGAUUAAUUCGAUGCAACGCGAAGAACCUUACCUACCCUUGACAUGUACGGAAGCCCGCUGAGAGGCGGGUGUGCCCGAAAGGGAGCCGUAACACAGGUGCUGCAUGGCUGUCGUCAGCUCGUGUCGUGAGAUGUUGGGUUAAGUCCCGCAACGAGCGCAACCCUUGUCACUAGUUGCUACGCAAGGGCACUCUAGUGAGACUGCCGGUGACAAACCGGAGGAAGGUGGGGAUGACGUCAAGUCCUCAUGGCCCUUAU
rnacentral:rRNA from 1 species